rnacentral:rRNA from 1 species
UACGUAGGGGGCAAGCGUUGUCCGGAUUUAUUGGGCGUAAAGAGCGUGUAGGCGGCCAGACAGGUCCGUUGUGAAAACUCGAGGCUCAACCUCGAGACGCCGAUGGAAACCGUCUGGCUAGAGUCCGGAAGAGGAGAGUGGAAUUCCUGGUGUAGCGGUGAAAUGCGCAGAUAUCAGGAAGAACACCCGUGGCUAAGGCGGCUCUCUAGUACGGUACUGACGCUGAGACGCGAAGCGUGGGGAGCGAACAGG